UACGUAGGUGGCAAGCGUUGUCCGGAUUUACUGGGCGUAAAGGGCGCGUAGGCGGUCGUGACAAGUCACUUGUGAAAUCUCCGGGCUUAACUCGGAACGGUCAAGUGAUACUGUCGGACUAGAGUACAGAAGGGGCAACUGGAAUUCUCGGUGUAGCGGUGAAAUGCGCAGAUAUCAGGAGGAACACCUAUUGCGAAGGCAGCUCGCUGGGACGUAACUGACGCUGGAGGCGCGGAAA
rnacentral:rRNA from 1 species